GAUGAACGCUGACAGAAUGCUUAACACAUGCAAGUCAACUUGAAUUUGGGUUUUUAACUUAGGUUUGGGUGGCGGACGGGUGAGUAACGCGUAAAGAACUUGCCUCACAGCUAGGGACAACAUUUGGAAACGAAUGCUAAUACCUAAUAUUAUGAUAAUAGGGCAUCCUAUAAUUAUGAAAGCUAUAAGCGCUGUGAGAGAGCUUUGCGUCCCAUUAGCUAGUUGGAGAGGUAACGGCUCACCAAGGCGAGGAUGGGUAGCCGGCCUGAGAGGGUGAUCGGCCACAAGGGGACUGAGACACGGCCCUUACUCAUACGGGAGGCAGCAGUGGGGAAUAUUGGACAAUGGACCGAGAGUCUGAUCAAGCAAUUCUGUGUGCACGAUGAAGUUUUUCGGAAUGUAAAGUGCUUUCAGUUGGGAAGAAACAAAUGACGGUACCAACAGAAGAAGUGACGGCUAAAUACGUG
rnacentral:rRNA from 1 species